UACGAAGGGGGCUAGCGUUGCUCGGAAUCACUGGGCGUAAAGGGUGCGUAGGCGGGUCUUUAAGUCAGAGGUGAAAUCCUGGAGCUCAACUCCAGAACUGCCUUUGAUACUGGCGACCUUGAGUCCGGGAGAGGUGAGUGGAACUGCGAGUGUAGAGGUGAAAUUCGUAGAUAUUCGCAAGAACACCAGUGGCGAAGGCGGCUCACUGGCCCGGUACUGACGCUGAGGUGCGAAAGCGUGGGGAGCAAACAGG
rnacentral:rRNA from 1 species